CGACCUCGGCUUGUUCUGGAUUGAUAAAAUGCACGUGUGUAUCGAUACCGCCAGCCGUCACAAUUUUACCUUCGCCAGCAAUGAUGUCUGUCGUUGAACCGAUAAUAAUAUCCACGUUGUCCAUAAUGUCUGGGUUACCUGCUUUACCGAUUUUCAUAAUGUAGCCAUUUUUCACACCGAUAUCUGCUUUAACAAUCUUGUCGUAAUCAAGAAUUAAGGCGUUAGUAAUGACGAGAUCUGCGACAUUUUUAUCAUCACGCGUCACAUUUGGAUUCAUCGCCAUACCAUCACGGAUAG
rnacentral:sRNA from 1 species